ACAUGAAUUAUAAAUAACUGCAUGUUUCCUUACUGUAAGUAAUAAAUGUAAACGAAACAUCCUUCAUUUAAGCGAAUCACUAAACAGUGUGUGACAAAUCAACACCGUGAUUUAUUAAUACAUAAAGUUAAUCUGAUUAACACGUGAGCUGUCGUGUCUGUAAUACGAAGUCCUGAAUUGUCAGGAGGAAAUGACGAUAAGCCUCCGUAACAGAACACACACUUCCUGUGUAAUCACCUACUUUAACACAUCACACUGAACUUUAGAGACACUUCAUCUGUUCUUCACAUCGGUUCCUCCUGACAGCGGUUGAUCUGAUGAUGCUGAAUCUGGAGCCACACAAAAAAACAGAGUCAGAUGUUCAGUUAUGGACAAUCAACACUAAUAACAAUAAUAGUUAAAAGCUCAUGGGCCCAAAAGAGGCAAGAGGCCAGGACACAAUUCCAGACAUCAGGAGUGCUGAGCCUUCACCUCUCUCUGAUUCAAUCCAGGAGGAGAUUAGCCUGAAAAACUGACCUCUAUGGUAUUUUUAUUGAAAAUGAUUAAUUACAUAAAAAUUAUGUAACAUUAAGUGGAGAUUGUGGUGUUUUGGUUGGUUGUGUGUGGGAAUCAGGGCAUUCGUAUAACUCUUUAGGGUGGAGAACUGGGAUAUAACUUAGAGUAUUUAAGGCUCAGAAAAAGUUAUUAGAUUGGAUUUUAUGUAGCUUAUGCCUUUGUUAUGCCUUUGUUAUGCCUUUGUUAUGCCUUUUAUUUCUUGAGAUUUGCAGUAUUUUGGGUUUGUAGUGAACAAUAAUAUAUAAGUGUAAACACCUGGAGGUUUCAGUGCAGAUUAGGGUAUAUGGGUUCAGAUGAGGGUAAAUAAUUUGAGAACUUGUUGUCGAUUGCAUGAAAAUUUUACCAUAUUAGCGGAGAUUAAAGGUUUUUUGGGUGGAUAUUAUGGUAUUUUGGAGAAGAUUAAAAGUUUUGCAUGGAAAUUAGACAAUUUGAGUCAUUUAGACAUACAAUAGUGUACUGUAUAUGGUCGGAGAUUUGGAAAUUUCGAAUGGGAUUUGUGAUAUUUUGGUAAAAAUUAAGAUGUUUAGGUCGAGAUUCUUAUGGUUUGGUUGUUUUGGAUGGGGUUUCAUGUGUUUGGGAGGUGAGUGGGUGAAUAAGCUCAGAAAUUAGUGAAUCUUUUGUCAUUCUGAAUAUUAACCUUGUCUCUAUGUCAGCUCAGAGCUUCAUAACUUCAGCAGGGUGGAGUUUUCGGAUGCAGGUUUUGUUUUCCCAGCCUCACACUCCUCGCCCUGACUGAAAUCAAAUGUUAGUGGCUCCAGAUUUCCUCCCAUGCUCAUGUAGAGCGUUUCCCACUCGCUGAGGCCCAGAGAGGCACUUAGGUCGAUGUCGGGUACCAGCAGGUCCAUGUCAUCAUCAUCAUACUCCAUUUUCGAUCCAAACUCCUCCAUGGCCACAUCCUUGAUGUCGAUAUAGGGCUCCAACUCAGCGCUGGAGCACAGCAGCACGUCUGAAUUUCCUGAGAUCACAGGCUCCUGGUGAAGAGGAACAGGAGAGGCGGCCAUCUUCUCUAGAUUCUCAGAAGAGGUCUGGAAGAAGAGAGAGAGAGCUGUGUGAGAACUUUCAGCACAACAGUGAUAUCAUUAAAUCAUAAUGUUCGAUUCCAAUAUUCAUGAGGCUGAUUAAUCAUCUAUUUACUGUCUGACUGCUUUGUGUGGGUUUUUUACAGUAAGAUGAACUUUCUUUUCCAGAACAAGUUAAAGCUCUAAUAGCCAUGAUCUUAUGUUUUAUAUAAAUAAACCUACAUCAGACAGUGAACCCGGGACCUGUCUCAGGUUCUUUCUUCAGCUGAGGAGUGUGUGCCUUCUUCUGGGGUGUGUGUGUCUUCUUCUGAGGUGUGUGUAUCUUCUUCUGAGGUGUGUGUGUCUUUUUCUGCUUGUCUCCAACCG